rnacentral:rRNA from 1 species
UAACCUGCCCAAGAGAUCGGGAUAACACCUGGAAACAGAUGCUAAUACCGGAUAACAACAGAUGAUGCCUAUCAACUGUUUAAAAGAUGGUUCUGCUAUCACUCCUGGAUGGACCUGCGGUGCAUUAGCUAGUUGGUAGGGUAACGGCCUACCAAGGCGAUGAUGCAUAGCCGAGUUGAGAGACUGAUCGGCCACAUUGGGACUGAGACACGGCCCAAACUCCUACGGGAGGCAGCAGAU